rnacentral:lncRNA from 1 species
ACCCACCAGACAAUGUGCCAUGAUGACCAGCAGAAGCCUUGGUGGCAGGGCUGCUGGGGGCAUGCCUGAUCCAUACGUCUCUCCAUUCACGGAGUGCUGACUGCUCUUAGACGGUGAGAGAGGCCAGGCUCCCACCCACACACUGUGCCGCAGCUGACCCACUCCCUGUGUGCCUUCACCUUGUGACACCAGGCUUCUGCACUUGCCUUCAACCACAGUGAGAUGAUGCUCUUGAGCCUCUGCGGGAAAAGGAGCUGGACAGACCCUCACGUUCCCUGGCUGUGAGCAGACCUCAGAGGCAAAUCCAGACAUACUCCUAUGAGGAGGCUUCAGGGCCGCUCAAAGGAAGGGUGUUCACACAUAACGGAGAAAAACUCCCUGGCAGAGGGCAUGUUCGCUCACAAAACAGGGAAUGUGUAGUGUUACAAAAGGAACAUGGUAUGGCAUGGCAGACAGUGAGGUUUCUAGGGUGUGAAGCCUGGGCCCAGAGGACUUUUCCCUCACACAUCAAGGGGUCCUGGUAGGUUUCUGGUGCUCUUCAGAACAAUACAGGGGUUGUGGUGAAACUGUCAAACCGGUCAAAGGCCCUGGCCCCACCACCCAUGGACAGCAUACCUUGCGGCUGUGUUAUGGAAUGUUCCUGGUGAGGCCAGAGCUCAGUGACAAACCAUGCUGGCGGUGCUGGGUUAGUCAGUCCCUGCUGGGCUGACCGUCAGCAAGUCAAGCUGUUUUCAGUAACCCACACAGGAAGUUGGUCACAGGUGAUGUUGUGGGUUGCUACACCUCAUUCCAUGUGUUUUCUGAACGAUGACCUCUGCACACAGAUACACCAGGCUACUUUCUCCCCACUGCCUGCAACACUCUAGGUCUGUUGGUUGUCCUGGGCGAUCUCUCCCUUGCUGAGCGCAUGAUGCUGCAUGCGUUAGAUGCACCGUGAUGACUACAACAUUUUCCCCUUUGCUGGCAUUUCAGCCAAGUGCAGCUCACAGCCUGUGUAAAGCUAUAGUGGGCAUUCUGAUUCUGGCUGUCAGGUGUCUCUAGAAUUGGCACCUGGGUGAGGUAUUGCCAGGGCAAGGUCAGCAUGCUUAGUCUCCCCCAGCACUCCCUUGCUAACACUAGGCAUGAUUUCCUCUAAGUCUUUGUUAAUCUGCUGUAUGAUUAAUGACACUAUCUAGCCAUAGUUCAAAUCUCCCUGGGCCCUAAUCUCUCCUGGAUAAGUACAUUUCACAUGCUUUUGUCUAUUUGAUAUUUGCUUUGUAACUGUUAUUUUUCUCAUUUUGCUAACUUUGUUAGUGAUUGGCCAGAACUCUUUGUAUAUGAUAGAUACUUAUCCCUAUGUUUAAAUACUAAAUAUAGAUUUUUUUUCUCCCAAUUCUGCCCCUUGUAAUCUUCUGUUUUUCAUGUUUAAAGAUCAAUUUCUUAAGUUAGAGGCAACGUGAUGGGUUUCAUUAUCUGCCCUUUCCUUCCAAGCUGAUUUAUGGAAUCUCUUCUGUGGAAAACUAUUCCUCCCGCCUUUAAGUGUAUCCAGAUCUGUUGGCCUCUUUUUCCCCCCUUCUGGCUUUCAUGUCAGGCUUAAGGAGAUUAAAAUAUCCUCUGUAUUUGUUCUAUUUUUAUAGUUCUGAGUUAUUCUGCUGUGACUUGUUUAUUUUGUUUCAUUUCUGGCUUUGGUUUUUCAUUUGGCCUGAAAUGUGUUUUCGAAUAUGGCAUUAUGAUUGGUUCUUACAUGUGAAAACUAAGGAGACACCUCAGGACCAUGUGGAUUAUGUGCCUGCUAUCUGAUGCUUC